UCCUGUGUGUUUCCCCGACGCUGUUGGUGUUACCGGCCAGACGCCACCCCUCGUGUGUACUUACCUCCUGUGUCCUCCCUCGACGCUGUCGGUGUUACCGGUCAGACGCCACUCCUUGUGUGUGUGCGUUUUCCCCCCUUCGUUGAUCCAUCUCCAGUGGAUUCCCCUUCGGGAAGCCACGGGUCUGGAGACCCACGCCCGAACCCCCCGGAGAACUACUCUGACGGACCUAGUUCCAGGCCGUCCCCUUUAGUGGAGCUAGCUGACCGCUCUCCUACGAGCUCACUGCCUUCGCUCCACUCCGUCCACAUCACCUCCCUUCCAAUAAGACGACCCGGUCCGCUGAUCCAGUAUUCACCAUCUACUUCCUGUUCUUUCAAUAAACCAUCAUUGUAUUUUA